rnacentral:rRNA from 1 species
UACGUAGGUCCCGAGCGUUGUCCGGAUUUAUUGGGCGUAAAGCGAGCGCAGGUGGUUUAUUAAGUCUGGUGUAAAAAGCAGUAGCUCAACCAUUGUAUGCAUUGGAAACUGGUAGACUUGAGUGCAGGAGAGGAGAGUGGAAUUCCAUGUGUAGCGGUGAAAUGCGUAGAUAUAUGGAGGAACACCGGUGGCGAAAGCGGCUCUCUGGCCUGUAACUGACACUGAGGCUCGAAAGCGUGGGGAGCAAACAGG